rnacentral:rRNA from 1 species
CGUGAGCAAUCUGCCUUCGGAGUGGGGAAGUAACGGUUGGGAAACAAGCCGCUAAUACCGCCAUGAUGCGUCUGGGAGGCAUCUCUCUGGACGCCAAAGAUUUAUCGCUCUGAGAUGAGCUCGCGUCUGAUUAGCUUGUUGGCGGGGUAAAGGCCCACCAAGGCGACGAUCAGUAGCCGGACUGAGAGGUUGGCCGGCCACAUUGGGACUGAGACACGGCCCAAACUCCUACGGGAGGCAGCAG